rnacentral:misc_RNA from 1 species
AAUAAAUAUCAUCAUUGCAACAUUUAAAACAAGCAAAGAGCUCCUCAAGGCAAUAACUGGGAAGGUGUCCCACAAUGUAAUAGUACCUUGGUCAAUGUCUCAGCUGAACCUACCCAAAUAAUACAUGCAGGGUAAUUGAGUAGAGGCAGCAGGAUGAGUGAAAGAAUCUUUUAUAACCAGUAACUUGGUAUUCUGAAUUUGGCUCCUCACCCGGAAUGCCUUUGUCUUCUCAACAACAGUAAGGAAAUAGGGAUAUAUUUCCUGCCCACCAAUAUACACAGUUCAACAGUAAUUUUUUUUUUUAAACAAAAAUAUAUUUACAUGAAAUAAAGUUAUAAGCCCAAGCCCAUGGAAGAUAAGUUUGCUAUGAUCACUUCAAGCCAAGCCCAAAUCCAAUAGAUAGGAACCCUUGAGGUGAAAUGAGUACAACCCGAGAUUCGUCUUCAAUUCUUCAUCAGCAAUCGUCACCACCUUUUCUUCAACAGCAGCUUGCAACUGGUUAUUAAGAGUGGAUUGUCAAUAAUUCAAUCAAGCAAGGGAAAACGACACAGGAUUGCUUAAACACUCCGCUCAAAUCAAAGUCGCAUUGCUAAACGCCUUCAAAGCUAAAGAAAUAGAGAAUAUUUGUAGCAAAUACUAGAAAUGCAUAGAUAAGGACUAAUUUCGAACAAGCCAAGAAAGAGGCUUGGCAAAUACGACUAUACGAGCCUUUCAUACUUUCCUUAAAGGAAAAAGUGACUGACUCGGCACCAUUCCUCUGAGACCGCUAGUUGAACAGCUCCUAAAAGCUUCAAUCAACUUGUAAAGGAGGGCAGUUGCAGCGUGCAAGCAACCUUACUGAACACUAACCAAAAACCCUAUCCACAA